GGAAAUAAUGGGGUGUUGGCCCCCGAGGCAGCAGUAAAGAAUUUUGUGCAAUAUACGAAAGUAAGACACAGAGAGGGCACCUUUUCUAGUCCGUCAAAUUAAGUGCCAGCAGACGCGGUGAAACUUAAGGGCUAGUCUUAUAGGCAAAAGCGUAAAGGGUGUGAUAGGCCGCCUUAUUUAAGAGAGUAAAUGGAAUUUUUCUGUAAUGGUGGUAUGUGUAAAUAGGAAAAAGAACUUUAGACGUGAAGACUAUUUACUUCUAAGAUUAUAAUGUGUUGGCUAAAACACGAGAGUGUGGGGAGCAAACAGGAUUAGGUACCCUGGUAGUCCAUACUGUAAAUAAUGAAAAAGAUGUGAAGCAAUUCUAAAAGGUAAGAACUUUUCCGCUUGAGUAGUACGAUCGCAAGAUUAAAAUUCAAAAAACUUGGCUGUUCACUGUUUUGAUUAGAGGAGCGUGUCGUUUAAUUCGAUAGUCCGCGAGAGACCUUACCCAAACUUGAAUCCCUCAUUGACAGGUAUUGCAUGGCCGUCGUCAAUUUGUGUAUUAAACAUAAAACAAAUUCAACCCAGUGGUUUGUCUAUUGGAUGAAGUCAGGUCUUAUUGUCCUAAUGUUUGGGGAUUAGAUGCGCUACAUUUUUUUAUACAAUGGGAAACUUUGAAUGUGAAACCCAAAAAUAAGAGUUCGGAAGGUGUCUGGAAUAUAACGGAAAGUUGGAUUUAAUAGUAAUUGAAAAGUAGAGCGUUUCAAUGAAAUUUAUUCAGUGUUAGUACAAAUUGCCCGUCGCCUUUGCUUAGAAAGGUUGUUUGGUUGCCCCUCAAGAGGGUUCCUAAUAUCUUCGAGGUAGAGUAAGUCGUAACAUAGUAGAGAAGAGGGGAGACACAAG
rnacentral:rRNA from 1 species